GACGUAGGUGGCGAACGUUAUCCGGAAUUAUUGGGCGUAAAGGGUGCGUAGGUGGUCUGAUAAGUUAUCAGUGGCAAAUCGGAGGCUCAACCUCGUGGAAACUGGUAAUACUGUCCGACUUGAGUACAGGAGAGGUUAACGGAACUCUAUGUGGAGCGGUAAAAUGCACAGAUAUAUAGAAGAACAUCAAUAACGGCGAAGGCGUA
rnacentral:rRNA from 1 species